UACGGAGGGCGCUAGCGUUGUUCGGAAUUACUGGGCGUAAAGCGCGCGUAGGCGGUUACUCAAGUCAGAGGUGAAAGCCCGGGGCCCAACCCCGGAACUGCCUUUGAAACUAGGUAACUAGAAUCUUGGAGAGGUCAGUGGAAUUCCGAGUGUUGAGGUGAAAUUCUUAGAUAUUCGGAAGAACACCAGUGGCGAAGGCGACUGACUGGACAAGUAUUGACGCUGAGGUGCGAAAGGGUGGGGAGCAAACAGG
rnacentral:rRNA from 1 species